CGCCUACGGGACGCAGCAGUGGGGAAUAUUGGGCAAUGGGCGCAAGCCUGACCCAGCAACGCCGCGUGAGUGAAGAAGUAUCUCGGUACGUAAAGCUCUAUCAGCAGGGAAGAAAAAAAGUCUUUGGCUUUGGACGGUACCUGACUAAGAAGCCCCGGCUAACUACGUGCCAGCAGCCGCGGUAAUACGUAGGGGGCAAGCGUUAUCCGGAUUUACUGGGUGUAAAGGGAGCGUAGACGGCAGCGCAAGUCUGGAGUGAAAUGCCGGGG
rnacentral:rRNA from 1 species